AGGUGAUUGAUGCCCGGUGAGAGGGUGAAAGGGACCUAUACCCCCGUCAGCUGCAGGAAAGGAACAAAGAGACAGGUGAUUGAUGCCCGGUGAGAAGGUGAAAGUGACCUAUACCCCCGUCAGCUGCAGGAAAGGAACCAAGAGACAGGUGAUUGAUUCCCGGUGAGAGGGUGAAAGGGACCUAUACCCCCGUCAGCUGCAGGAAAGGAACAAAGAGACAGGUAAUU